AAAAGUGACCAACCACCGGGGGUUGAGUGUAAUGGAAGAGACAAAAUCAAAACAUGCAACUUUUGUCACCGAAGACAAAUUCUGAGUAGUCUGAGAUCUUGAAGGCACGCCUCUGCACUUAUAACGCCUAUUAUAAUGUUGACAAUUAAUUGUUUAAUUUAUGAUGAGAAAUAAAAAAAAUGCUGUUGUAAAAUGUAAAUGUAUAUCUGUUUUGUAAACAUCUAAUUAUCGCAAAAAUUCGAAAAUCGAACGUCAGACAAUGGCAGGA